UACGUAGGGUGCGAGCGUUGUUCGGAAUUAUUGGGCGUAAAGCGCGUGUAGGCGGUUCGGCAAGUCGGAUGUGAAACCCCUGGGCUCAACCCAGGGCCUGCAUCCGCGACUGCCGGGCUAGAGUGUGGGAGGGGAGAGCGGAAUUCCUGGUGUAGCGGUGAAAUGCGUAGAUAUCAGGAGGAACACCGGUGGCGAAGGCGGCUCUCUGGACCAUAACUGACGCUGAGACGCGAAAGCUAGGGGAGCAAACAGG
rnacentral:rRNA from 1 species